rnacentral:rRNA from 1 species
GAGUUUGAUCCUGGCUCAGAGUGAACGCUGGCGGCGUGCCUAAUACAUGCAAGUCGAACGAUGAAGCUUCUAGCUUGCUAGAAUGCUGAUUAGUGGCGCACGGGUGAGUAACGCAUAGGUCAUGUGCCUCUUAGUUUGGGAUAGCCAUUGGAAACGAUGAUUAAUACCAUAUACUCCCUACGGGGGAAAGAUUUAUCGCUAAGAGAUCAGCCUAUGUCCUAUCAGCUUGUUGGUAAGGUAAUGGCUUACCAAGGCUAUGACGGGUAUCCGGCCUGAGAGGGUGAACGGACACACUGGAACUGAGACACGGUCCAGACUCCUACGGGAGGCAGCAGUAGGGAAUAUUGCUCAAUGGGGGAAACCCUGAAGCAGCAACGCCGCGUGGAGGAUGAAGGUUUUAGGAUUGUAAACUCCUUUUGUUAGAGAAGAUAAUGACGGUAUCUAACGAAUAAGCACCGGCUAACUCCGUGCCAGCAGCCGCGGUAAUACGGAGGGUGCAAGCGUUACUCGGAAUCACUGGGCGUAAAGAGCGCGUAGGCGGGAUAGUCAGUCAGGUGUGAAAUCCUAUGGCUUAACCAUAGAACUGCAUUUGAAACUACUAUUCUAGAGUGUGGGAGAGGUAGGUGGAAUUCUUGGUGUAGGGGUAAAAUCCGUAGAGAUCAAGAGGAAUACUCAUUGCGAAGGCGACCUGCUAGAACAUUACUGACGCUGAUUGCGCGAAAGCGUGGGGAGCAAACAGGAUUAGAUACCCUGGUAGUCCACGCCCUAAACGAUGGAUGCUAGUUGUUGGAGGGCUUAGUCUCUCCAGUAAUGCAGCUAACGCAUUAAGCAUCCCGCCUGGGGAGUACGGUCGCAAGAUUAAAACUCAAAGGAAUAGACGGGGACCCGCACAAGCGGUGGAGCAUGUGGUUUAAUUCGAAGAUACACGAAGAACCUUACCUAGGCUUGACAUUGAGAGAAUCCGCUAGAAAUAGUGGAGUGUCUGGCUUGCUAGACCUUGAAAACAGGUGCUGCACGGCUGUCGUCAGCUCGUGUCGUGAGAUGUUGGGUUAAGUCCCGCAACGAGCGCAACCCCCUUUCUUAGUUGCUAACAGGUCAUGCUGAGAACUCUAAGGAUACUGCCUCCGUAAGGAGGAGGAAGGUGGGGACGACGUCAAGUCAUCAUGGCCCUUACGCCUAGGGCUACACACGUGCUACAAUGGGGUGCACAAAGAGAAGCAAUACUGCGAAGUGGAGCCAAUCUUCAAAACACCUCUCAGUUCGGAUUGUAGGCUGCAACUCGCCUGCAUGAAGCUGGAAUCGCUAGUAAUCGCAAAUCAGCCAUGUUGCGGUGAAUACGUUCCCGGGUCUUGUACUCACCGCCCGUCACACCAUGGGAGUUGUGUUUGCCUUAAGUCAGGAUGCUAAAUUGGCUACUGCCCACGGCACACACAGCGACUGGGGUGAAGUCGUAACAAGGUAACCGUAGGUGAACCUGCGGUUGGAUCACC